GCCAAGAAGCUAGCCUAAACAGAUCUAUAACUAAAUAUUAUAAAUAAACAAACCAUACCAACAUAUUAAAACAUUUUACCGCCCAAGUAUAGGUGAUAGAAAAGGUCCUUAGAGCAAUAGAAAAAGUACCGCAAGGGAAAGCUGAAAAAGAAGUGAAAUAACCCGAGAAAGCAAGAAAGAGCAGAGUCGAACCCUCGUACCUUUUGCAUCAUGAUCUAGCAAGAAACCCCAAGCAAAGAGAACUUAAGUUUGACCCCCCGAAACCAGGGGAGCUACUUCGGGGCAGCCCAAAGGGGCAAACCCGUCUCUGUGGCAAAAGAGUGGGGAGACUUCCAAGUAGUGGUGAUAAGCCUACCGAACCUGGUGAUAGCUGGUUGCUCAGAAGAUGAAUAUAAGUUCAGCGUUAUGGCAUUCUAGUAUUAAUUUUAAGAAAAGCAAGUAAGUCAUAACAGUUAGUCAAAAGGGGUACAGCCCUUUUGAAAAAGGAUACAACCUUACCAAGGAGGAAAAGGAUCAAUAACCUAAGGCACUUUCCCCAGUGGGCCUAAAAGCAGCCACCUGUGAAGAUAGCGUUAAAGCUCAAGCAAAACCUGGCCAACAAUACAACUAAACUAAACCCAUUCCCCUACUGUAACUGAGCCCCUCUAUAUAGCUAUAGAGAAGAUAAUGCUAGAAUUAGUAAUAAGAGGGACACACCCCUCUCCUCGCACAAUCGUGGGUCAGAUAGGAUUAACCGCUGAUAAAUAACGGACCCAAAAGGGGGAACAACAAAGAAAUUUAACGAACAAGAAAACCCUGAAGGAAUUACCGUCAACCCGACACAGGAAUGCGCCUAGGAAAGACUAAAAGGAAGAGAAGGAACUCGGCAAAAUCAAAACCCCGCCUGUUUACCAAAAACAUCGCCUCUUGCUAACAAUGAAGUAUUAGAGGUCCCGCCUGCCCUGUGACAGCAGUGUUUAACGGCCGCGGUAUUUUAACCGCGCGAAGGUAGCGUAAUCACUUGUCUUUUAAAUGGAGACCUGUAUGAAUGGCAUAACGAGGGUUUUACUGUCUCCUCCCCCCAGUCAAUGAAAUUGAUCUGCCCGUGCAGAAGCGGGCAUAACGACAUAAGACGAGAAGACCCUAUGGAGCUUCAGGCAAAUGAUCAAGUACAUAAAAUCCUGAUAUUAACCAAACUCAAGAAAAGCAAGGACCCCUGAUCAAAGUGCCUUCGGUUGGGGCGACCAUGGAGGAAAAAGGAGCCUCCACGUGGAAAGGGAGAACCCUUAAACCAAGAGCCACACCUCUAAGCAGCAGAAAAUCUGACCAAAAAUGACCCAGGCUCGAGCCUGAUCAACGAACCAAGUUACCCUAGGGAUAACAGCGCAAUCCUCUCCCAGAGUCCAUAUCGACGAGGGGGUUUACGACCUCGAUGUUGGAUCAGGACAUCCUAUUGGUGCAGCCGCUAUUAAGGGUUCGUUUGUUCAACGAUUAAUAGUCCUACGUGAUCUGAGUUCAGACCGGAGCAAUCCAGGUCGGUUUCUAUCUAUGAACUACCUACCCCUAGUACGAAAGGACCGGAGUAGGGGGGCCUACGAGAACACAAGCCCCAACCCAGCCCGCUGAAGACAUAUAAAGCGCAUAAUGGGAAGGACAUAACUGCCAGAGAUAAUGGCAC
rnacentral:rRNA from 1 species